rnacentral:lncRNA from 1 species
ACCAAGUCCAUGCUUAGGGAACCACACAGGAGGAGUCAAGGUAAAAAGGGAUGACCCACUAGAUACAGCUGACUACAUGGUACCCAUGGAUAGGAUGUUGGCAGGGAGCAGGAGGGAUCCACUCUGUCCAGGGCACAAAGUGCCUAGGUUUCUGAUUCACUCUCCCAUUGUUACAACUGGAAUGACCUAGGGCACUGUAGUUAGCCUCCCUUAGCCUCAAUAUUCCGAUUUGUAAAGUGGCAACAGUGAUACUUACCAAGUUGGGUGGCUGUGGAUAUUAAAUCAGCUAGUGUAUCAGUUGCCCGAAACAUUGUAACUAGCUAGCUAUUUUUAUAACACAGUAAGUCAUGUAUUUGCAGGUUUGGGAGAGAGAGAGAUCGUCAAAGACCUGUGUUAUAUGCUGUCUUUCCUCUUGAGAAUCAAGACCCAUAGUUAGAAACCUCUCAGGACCUUGAUUUUGUGAUGUGGUGAUGGGGAUCUUUCUAGAUUGCGUGGCAUUUACUGAGCACUCUGCAGUCUUUACUUGAAAGGAUUCCUGCCCAUUGUGCCAGCUGAGCGAUGCAGGCUGUGCCCUUGUUUUGCUACCAUUUCAUACUCAGCAGAUCUUUUUCUUCCUUUUUCCUCCAGAAGGUCAGGACAACAGACACUCCUAACCCCAAAGAAAGGACAAGGGUGAAGAUGGCGAGGUGUGACUGACUCCUGGUCCUGAGCCUUGACCCCUCUGUAGCCCCAGAGCUGUGGCUGAGACCCUCCCAUCCUGGGGAGAGAGAGAGAAGCCCUAGGGCUUAGAACCUCACGAAGAAGAACGCAGGAAGCUUCGAAAACCGGGGGAACUGUGCACUUUCAAAGCUGAUGGUGGGAUGGUGCCUCUGCAAUCAACAGGGUCGAUGCAGGGCACAGGUGGACUCUUUAUCUGCUGAGCCAUGUGGGAAGCCCGACCAUGUCAGGUCCUAUGGAUCAUUCAGAGCAAAAGUAGUGAGUGGCAUUGAAGGACCCCCUUGAUCUCCCUCUUGUUCCCUUUAUCCCAAGCCCUCUCCUCCAGCUCUGUCAACUCUCUGGAUACUGUUCGUUAUCAGACUGUGGCCGCGGGUGAUGGGGCACCCUCUGAGAGGGGCUGUGACUUUUUCUGAGGCCAGCAGGAAUUUUCUUCCUCAAGGUAAUAAGCCCCUCUUCCUGUCUCUAAAACCAUUGAAUAUCUUUGUUUUGGGGGCAGGGGUGGGGACUUAGAAAUCUCAUUACUCCCAUUUGUGAUAUUUGCAAUCAGUAAGACAUCCCCUAAAAGCACUUUUUAUAUGCUCAGAAAGAGACAGACUGGGAAGGAAGCCUUGUAAACCUGAAGCAGAUACUCCUGAUAAAAGCCUGCAGGAAACAUGCUCUUAUUUACUUCGAUGUUCUGCAAACUUUGCUAUCGAAACCUUGUAUUGAUUUUGUCUCGGUCUCUGUCAACACGGUUACCCCUUGGGUCAAUACAUCCUGAUUAUCUAUCUCAAGACAGUUUGGAAUGAAGAAAUGGCUUUCUGAAGUUUUCUUUGUGUUAAGGUAAUUUUUUUGAUACUCUACUAAAACCCCAGAGAGGCUACCAGCAUCUCUCUCUCUCUCUUUAUAUUAUAUAUAUAUAUAUACACACACAUGCACACACACACAGACCACACAGACACACAUAUGCAUGGUCUAUCAAUGCUGAUAUCUACAUUUAUCAAUCCAUAGAUAAAUUUCAGCAUGUUAAUAGAUACAGAUAUACACA